CGUGAAAUACUUUCAUGCUUUACAACUGAUAUAAUUUUAAUUACAACAUUGUUAUAUAUUCAAGAGCAAAUGUUCGGUGGAAUUCUCUUAUACGAACGAACUUCUAUUAACAGAACGAAAAAUCACAGAUGGUAGGGAGAAAUACGUGGCACUCCUAUCAUAUCAACGACUUAGUUAUAUGAAUCAACUUGUCCCCCGGCAAGUUCAAGUUUAUAUAUCGUUAUAUGAUCGACGUAUAGUAGAUCACGAUUUAAGUUACAUACAUGGCAAAAAUGAACACUCAUCGUCUUUGAUAUUUGAAGACUUUAUAAUUUCAGAGUUAAAGUCCACGUAUGAGAUUGUCAAUCGUCAUCGGUUGAGGCAAGGAAAGGCGCAAAUGCAAUAACACCGGUGAUGAUCUCACGUACUUAAGAUUAAAUUGUCUUAUGUGGAAUAGCUGCAAAAUUUCACGC
rnacentral:misc_RNA from 1 species